rnacentral:lncRNA from 1 species
UAAAAUUCAUUUUCAAUUCAAUUCAAUUCCAUCUUUACAAUCAAACGGACCCUAAGUUAAAAACAAAGGGAAACCAAAUAUGCAAUUCAAGGUAACACACAGACACAGCAAGAAAGUAAAGAAAAAGUACUUUUUGUCUUCAAUAAUUUCACCAAUCCGACGUUUUCCUGUUCCAAAAAUCCAUAAAUCACACAAAAUAAUUAUCAAAGAGAGAGUUACAUCAAAAGCUAAUAGAUAUGAUGUAAAUAGAAAAUGCAGAACAAAUUACCUUAACAAGUUGGUCGAUGUAAUCUUUGCCAAAAGUAGAAUCUGAAGGCAACUUGCUCCGAAAUCGCAAGAGAAUUGGGAUUUGGCAAAGAAUUAGUAAUAUCUGAAAGCCUCAUUCUCACCAUGUUUCAAAAAGAGGAUCUUUUCACCAUUUUUAUCAUCUUUCAUAAUCAUCUUUCAAGAUCCCUUUCGAAAAAUAACCUAAAAAAUUCAAGAUACCCAAGUGGAAUUUCUAAGAAAUAAACACUAAAUUUCAGACCCCGAGGAUUAUCCUGAAGUGAAAUUACACCAAAGGGGCAUAUGGAUGUUUAAUUCUACAAAAUGGGCUUAUGUGUCUGUUAUUAAUUACAAAAAAAAUUAAUGUAAAUAAAAAAUGUGUGUGAAGGAAGAACAUGACUAAUUUUUGUUUAUUUAAUUUUGAUUUUUAAUUAUAUAUAUGUAAUUAAUUUGUAAUUUUUUGAAAAUUUGGGACUACUGUUGCAAUUAGUUUAUUUCAUUU